UGCGUGAGCCAGAAAAGUGCGUUUUAAAAUGAUUACUGGUGGUUGCCAGCGGAGAGACAGAUUAUACAGCUCUAGACAACUGUUGUUUUAAUCCCCUGGGCGAGGAGAUUUAGCAAAGAAAAAACACUGGUUUUAAACCCAGCAGCCAUAUUGUAUGGAAAAACGACGGAAAGACUCCUCGUUUCAGAAAAGUCGUGUUCUCAGACAACUCUGUCAAGACUUUUGGGGACUUUAAUUGUUUUUCCCACUGGCGGCGCUUGGGUUUCUAUCGGACAUCUAGCUAGUUUGCCAGCUGGUUGAGGAAUUCAGACAUUGGGACUCGUUUUGAGCUAUUUAAAACAAUAUUGUUGUAAUCUCUUUGGUUUAGAAGUGUUAAAUUAACCGUGUAAAACAUGAAGGACCGAUUGGAGCAACUGAAAGCGACGUGUGAUCAAGAUGAUGAUGAGGUGGAGAUUGCUAUGGACAACGCUGCCUUCAUGGACGAAUUCUUCUGUCAGAUUGAGGACAUCAGGAGCAGUAUUGAUAAAAUUGAUGAGAAUGUGGCGGAAGUCAAAAAGCUUUUCUCGGUCAUCCUGUCUGCUCCCACAUCAGAUCAGAAAACACAGGAUGAUUUGGAGGCAAUCACCAAUGACAUAAAGAAGAUGGCCAACAAUGCAAGAAACAAACUCAAGACCAUUGAGAGGAAUCUUGAGGCAGAGGAGCAGGAGAGGGUGUCGGCUGACAUGCGAAUACGUAAAUCACAGCAUGCAGUGCUGUCCAGGAAGUUUGUGGAGGUAAUGACAAAGUAUAAUGAAGCCCAGGUGGACUUCAGGGAGAGGAGUAAAGGACGUAUUCAGAGACAACUAGAGAUCACUGGAAAAGCAACAACAGAUGAGGAACUGGAGGAGAUGUUGGAGAGUGGCAAUGCUGCUGUAUUUACUGCAGGGAUUGUGGACGCUGGGGUCUCUAAACAAGCCCUGAGUGAGAUUGAAGCAAGACACAAAGAUAUUGUCCGUCUGGAAAGUAGUAUCAAGGAGCUGCACGAUAUGUUUGUAGACAUUGCAAUGCUGGUGGAGAGCCAGCUCCAUGCCUUUCUCACUCCUCUCUUUACUCUCUUCUGCCACUGCCACCUCCAUCUCAUCACCCAAUCGUAAGAUGCACAAGUAAAGCAUCAUUGUAGACAUGAGAGGAGACUUCACACUAUAAUGUAUACAAACACAUAUUGUUGGUUAGUCAGCCACUGUGUGUAAAUGCGUACAUAAGUCUAACCUCAUAUUUCUUACUGCUUAAACCAUGCUUUCUGAGGGAAAGGCUUGAUUGAGGGUGACAUAGUUGACAACAUUGAGCAGAAUGUAUCAAAGUCAGUGGACCACAUAACAGUAGCUAAGGAACAGACCAAAAAAGCUGUAAGGCAUCAGACCAAAGCCCGCAAGGUAAUGUAAUUCAGUCAACUGCUGCACAACUUCCUUUUUCUGCCUAUUUUCUGGACACACUUUGACACAUUUACACCACACAGUGUGCAUACAGAUUGUACUCCCUCGCCCUGCAGACACAUCGCCAAUCACAAACAACUGCUGUAGUCUGUGCUUCACUUGGUUGUCUUUUCUCUCUCUCUCUCUCUCUCUCUCUCUCUCUCUCUCUCUCUCUCUCUCUCUCUCUCUCUCUCUCUCUCUCUCGCUUCGAUUGUGUUAUUCAACUUCUUUUGUUGCUUUUUGUCACCUCUGACGCCGUGGCCCCAUGUUAGGGUGGAAUGAUUGACAGGAUUGAGAGCAACAUGGACCAGUCAGUGGGCUUUGUGGAGCGGGCCGUAGCAGAUACUAAAAAAGCUGCAAAGUUUCAGCAAGAAGCUCGUCGUGUGAGUGACCACAGUCGGAGAAGGAGCAGUCAGGUUUCCCAAAAGCAACGGAAAUAGUUUCAUUUUAUUGUUUAUAAUAGAACAGUGAUGAGCCUGAGAUCAAUGCUAUUCAACAUCAAAUACAAUGUUGUUGUUUUUUGCUUUGCAGUACAAAUAAGAAAAAUGAAAUAAAGUAACUUUGGUGCCAUAGAACAAAGAUGUAGUUAGAGUUCAAAUCCCGGCCUUGUGUAAGAAUAUGAUUAGGUGAUUUUAAUCCAUGUUAUUCUGAUCAACUUGAGUCAAUUGGAACAUGCACCAGGAAUGUCGAAGAUGCUUCCUGACAGGGUUGAGCAUUGGGAAUUGUCAUUACUCCGGCUGCUACUACCCAUGAUACUGCGCUAUCUUAGAUCAUACACGUGGUUCAUCAACAGUGGUUCUGACAUAGAACAAACAACACAGCAUUAGAAAUGACAGACAUCCUCAAUGAUUUUUGCACAGCUAAGCAAAUUCGCAGCGUUGGCCUAGCUCAACUUUUGCAUGAAUGCAACGUUAAUUUGUUAGGCACAGUGUCGGCCAAUCCAGUAAAGCAAGCACGUGUCCCUGCUGCAUUACUUUGUAAUAAUAAUGCUGUAUUUAUAAGGUUAACCUU